rfam:Triticum aestivum genome assembly, contig: Triticum_aestivum_CS42_TGACv1_scaffold_223822_3B
CAACUACUCCCUUUGUCCCAAAUGUCUUGUCUUAGAUUUGUCUAGAUACGGAUGUAUCUAAUACUAAAAUGUGACUUGAUACAUCCGUAUCGAGACAAAUCUAAGUAGAAUUUUGGGACGGAGGGAGUACUUU